CCUACGGGAGGCAGCAGUGGGGAAUAUUGCACAAUGGGGGAAACCCUGAUGCAGCAACGCCGCGUGAGUGAAGCAGUAUUUCGGGAUGUAAAGCUCUAUCAGCAGGGAAGAAGAUGACGGUACCUGACCAAGAAGCCCCGGCUAACUACGUGCCAGCAGCCGCGGUAAUACGUAGGGGGCAAGCGUUAUCCGGAUUUACUGGGUGUAAAGGGAGCGCAGGCGGCAGUGCAAGUCUGGAGUGAAAGCCCGGGGCCCAACCCCGGAACUGCUCUGGAAACUGUGCGGCUAGAGUACUGGAGGGGCAGGCGGAAUUCCUAGUGUAGCGGUGAAAUGCGUAGAUAUUAGGAGGAACACCAGUGGCGAAGGCGGCCUGCUGGACAGUAACUGACGUUGAGGCUCGAAAGCGUGGGGAGCAAACAGGAUUAGAUACCCCAGUAGUC
rnacentral:rRNA from 1 species